UGCGGGGUGGAGCAGUGGUAGCUCGUUGGGCUCAUAACCCAAAGGUCAUUGGUUCGAUCCCAAUCCCCGCUA
rnacentral:tRNA from 2 species